AUACAUGCAGUCGACGCUUCUUUUUCCACCGGAGCUUGCUCCACCGGAAAAAGAGGAGUGGCGAACGGGUGAGUAACACGUGGGUAACCUGCCCAUCAGAAGGGGAUAACACUUGGAAACAGGUGCUAAUACCGUAUAACAAUCAAAACCGCAUGGUUUUGAUUUGAAAGGCGCUUUCGGGUGUCGCUGAUGGAUGGACCCGCGGUGCAUUAGCUAGUUGGUGAGGUAACGGCUCACCAAGGCCACGAUGCAUAGCCGACCUGAGAGGGUGAUCGGCCACAUUGGGACUGAGACACGCCCAAACUCCUACGGGAGGCAGCAGUAGGGAAUCUUCGGCAAUGGACGAAAGUCUGACCGAGCAACGCCGCGUGAGUGAAGAAGGUUUUCGGAUCGUAAAACUCUGUUGUUAGAGAAGAACAAGGAUGAGAGUAACUGUCAUCCCUGUA
rnacentral:rRNA from 1 species